rnacentral:rRNA from 1 species
GAUGAACGCUGGCGGCGUGCCUAAUACAUGCAAGUCGAGCGGACGGACUAGAAGCUUGCUUCUCUGAUGUUAGCCGCACGCGUGUGUAUAACGCGUGGAUACCCUCCCUAUCUUACUGGGAUAACUUCGAAAAUCCGGAGCUUAUCCCGUAGGAUCUUUUGAUCCGCAUUGUUCAAAAGUGAAAGUCGGUCUUGCUGUCACUUCUCGAUGGAUCCGCGCUGCAUUAGCUUGUUGGUCAGGUAACGGCUUACCAAGGCGACGAUGCAUAACCGACGGGAGAGGGUGGUCGGCGGCACGGGAACUGAGACACGGUCCAGACGCCUAAGGGAGGGAGCAGUAGGGAACCGUCCGCAAUGGGCGAAAGCCUGACGGAGCAACGCGGCGCGAGUGAUGAAGGCCUUCGGAUCGUAAAACUCGGUUAUGAGGGAAGAACAUAUGUGUAAGUAACCGUGCACAUCCUGACGGUACCUAAUCAGAAAGCCACGGCUAACUACGUG